rnacentral:rRNA from 1 species
GAACGAGAAAGUGGAGCAAUCCAUGAGUAAAGUGGCGUACGGGUGAGUAACACGUGGAUCAUCUGCCCUUUAGUGGGGAAUACCGCUGGGAAACCGGCGACAAUACCGCAUAAGCUCGAGAGAGGAAAGCAGCAAUGCGCUGAAGGAGGAGUCCGCGGCCGAUUAGCUAGUUGGUAGGGUAAUGGCCUACCAAGGCUGUGAUCGGUAGCCGGCCUGAGAGGGCACACGGCCACACUGGCACUGAAACACGGGCCAGACUCCUACGGGAGGCAGCAGUGGGGAAUCUUGCACAAUGGGGGAAACCCUGAUGCAGCGACGCCGCGUGAGCGAUGAAGCCCUUCGGGGUGUAAAGCUCUUUCGGCAGGGAAGAUUAUGACGGUACCUGUAGAAGCAGCUGCGGCUAACUACGUGCCAGCAGCCGCGGUAAUACGUAGGCAGCAAGCGUUGUUCGGAGUUACUGGGCGUAAAGGGUGCGUAGGCGGUUCUAUAAGUAUGGUGUGAAAUCUCCCGGCUUAACUGGGAGGGUGCGCUAUAGACUGUGGGACUAGAGUGUGGGAGAGGAAAGUGGAAUUCCUGGUGUAGCGGUGAAAUGCGUAGAUAUCAGGAGGAACACCGGUGGUGUAAACGGCUUUCUGGACCAUAACUGACGCUGAGGCACGAAAGCGUGGGUA